rnacentral:rRNA from 1 species
CCUACGGGUGGCUGCAGUAGGGAAUCUUUCACAAUGGGCGAAAGCCUGAUGGAGCAACGCCGCGUGCAGGAUGAAGGCCUUCGGGGUGUAAACUGCUUUUAUAAGCGAGAAAUAUGAUGGUAACGUAUGAAUAAGGAUCGGCUAACUACGUGCCAGCAGCCGCGGUCAUACGUAGGAUCCGAGGAUUAUCCGGAGUGACUGGGUGUAAAGAGUGGCGUAGGUGACAUAAGAAGUAGCUAGUGAAAUCUGGUGGCUCAACCAUUCAGACUAUUAGCUAAACUGUUAAGCUCGAGACCGGUAGGGGUAACUGGAAUUUCUAGUGUAGGAGUGAAAUCCGUAGAUAUUAGAAGGAACACCAAUAGCGUAGGCAGGUUGCUGGGACGGUUCUGACACUAAGGCACGAAAGCGUAGGGAGCAAACGGGAUUAGAUACCCUUGUAGUC